AGAGUUCGAUUGAGUCUCAGUACGAAGCGCUAGCGGCAGGCGGCAACACAGCCAAGUAGAAGCAGAUCGUUCGUUCCGGAACUGGAGAGUGGCGCACGGGUGAGUAACGCGUGGGAACGUGCCCUCUUCUGCGGAAUAGCCACUGGAAACGGUGAGUAAUACCGCAUACGCCCUUUUGGGGAAAGAUUUAUCGGAGGAGGAUCGGCCCGCGUUGGAUUAGGUAGUUGGUGGGGUAAUGGCCUACCAAGCCGACGAUCCAUAGCUGGUUUUAGAGGAUGAUCAGCCACACUGGGACUGAGACACGGCCCAGACUCCUACGGGAGGCAGCAGUGGGGAAUCUUAGACAAUGGGCGCAAGCCUGAUCUAGCCAUGCCGCGUGAGUGACGAAGGCCCUAGGGUCGUAAAGCUCUUUCGCCUGUGAUGAUAAUGACAGUAGCAGGUAAAGAAACCCCGGCUAACUCCGUGCCAGCAGCCGCGGUAAUACGGAGGGGGUUAGCGUUGUUCGGAAUUACUGGGCGUAAAGCGCGCGUAGGCGGAUUGGAAAGUUGGGGGUGAAAUCCCGGGGCUCAACCCCGGAACUGCCUCCAAAACUUCCAGUCUGGAGUUCGAGAGAGGUGAGUGGAAUUCCGAGUGUAGAGGUGAAAUUCGUAGAUAUUCGGAGGAACACCAGUGGCGAAGGCGGCUCACUGGCUCGAUACUGACGCUGAGGUGCGAAAGUGUGGGGAGCAAACAGGAUUAGAUACCCUGGUAGUC
rnacentral:rRNA from 1 species